AUUGAACGCUGGCGGCAGGCCUAACACAUGCAAGUCGAGCGGAGCGGAGGACGGGUGAGUAAUGCCUAGGAAUCUGCCUGGUAGUGGGGGAUAACGUCCGGAAACGGGCGCUAAUACCGCAUACUAUCAGAUGAGCCUAGGUCGGAUUAGCUAGUUGGUGGGGUAAAGGCGUACCAAGGCGACGAUCCGUAACUGGUCUGAGAGGAUGAUCAGUAAAACUGGAACUGAGACACGGGCCAGACUCCUACGGGAGGGAGCAGUGGGGAAUAUGGGACAAUGGGCGAAAUCCUGCUCCAGCAAUUGCGCGUGUGUGAAGAAGGGCUUCGGAAUGUAAAGCACUUUAAGUUGGGAGGCGUUACCAACAGAAUAUGCACCGGCUAACUACGUGCCAGCAGCCGCGGUAAUAC
rnacentral:rRNA from 1 species